rnacentral:tRNA from 1 species
GCCCUGAUAGCUCAGCCUGGCUAGAGCGUCUCAUUGGUAAUGAGAAGGUCGCGGGUUCAAGUCCCGCCCGGGGCUCCA